rnacentral:rRNA from 1 species
UACGGAGGGUGCGAGCGUUGUCCGGAAUCACUGGGCGUAAAGGGCGCGUAGGCGGCCUGAUAAGUAGGGGGUGAAAUCCUGCGGCUUAACCGCAGGGCUGCCUUCUAAACUGUCGGGCUAGAGCACGGUAGAGGCAGAUGGAAUUCCCGGUGUAGCGGUGGAAUGCGUAGAGAUCGGGAAGAACACCAGUGGCGAAGGCGGCUCACUGGCCCGGUACUGACGCUGAGGCACGAAAGCGUGGGGAGCAAACAGG